AUUUUCUUUAUUCAGCAUCAGAUGGUCGCGCCGGUUGGCACGGUGAUGCUCCAUCGAUGGCGUAAAAGGCGGCCUGCCUUUCACACCUGUUGUCUCUGCUGCUGAUGUCCGGGCGCUAUGAGCUCAGGCGGUACCGGUGCCGGUCAUCGCACCAGUUUUCUUCAAGCAGCUGUAUUCGCAGUAUGGUGAAUCUUGUUGCUGUAUUCGCAGGGCAAUCUUGGGCGCACUUUGAUACUGACACAGACCAAUUGAAAAACAAACUUACAAACGGGAACACCACAAAAUACUCAGUAUUCGUAACUCAACCGGCAGGAUUUCCAAAAAGACUCUACACAUAUUCUUUGUGGUCAUGGCUCAACAGGCGAACAAUAAUCAGAUAUACAACAUUCGCGUUUUAUGGCAGCUUUCUGACUGAGGAGAUUCAAGUGCAAACAAUCGGUGGUGGAUUAUUGUUCUUUUCAGGCGUAGAUUGCGCCUUGAUCUGGGAUAUGCGCAAUGUAUCGUUCAAUGGUGUCAACAGUGUCUACGUGGGACUCAGCAAUAUAAUUGUCAUCUUGUAGUUCGGCAAACCUAUUUCUUUUAUCAGCUGCUGCCCUUGAAGUACUAGGGAUGUCAUCCGCGUCUGUAGACUUCUUAGCAGAGUAGAUUUCAAAGUGAACUCCACGAGAGACGAUAUGGAUAUGAAUUUUGAAAUUUUAUGGAUUACAUGUGGAGGGGCGGAAGGAUUCAGAUAAAUACCAGAAACUUGGUGCGUGCCAAUAUCUUCUGUUAUAGAUAAAACUUCAAACACGAACUUCAAUUAAAAGGGAACUAGUUUUAAGAAAAAGGAAACAUGCGGCUGUAUCGGGCAAAUUCUCGUACUGGAUUAAUGAUGGCGAUUUCCAUCAGAAACCAAGUCACGCUCCUUGGUGUGACCGUAUUCGCCGAGGAUCAAAAAACCCUCCUCACUGCUUAUCGCCGCUCAC